GCCCCGGGGUGAGGGGAGGUGUCCUGCUGGGGAGCGGGCGCCCCCGGUCCCUGCACUGCUUCAGAGAGGCGCCCUGAGGUGGCCGCCGGGCCGGGAUGUAGGCGGGAUGUAGGCGCGACCCUGCCCUGCCCCGUGGCUGCUACGCCUGGUGCCGCCCCUUCCGGGUUCGCGCCGAGGUUCGCGCGCUCCCCGCGCCCCUCACGCGGCCCGGGGGCGCGCGGACUCCCCACCUUCUUCCCCCCCCCCCCCCGCGGGCGCCGCCGUGUCCGGACUCCCGCCCCGCCAGCGGGUUCCCCCGCCCCGCCGGCCCCGCCCUGGGCCCCGCCGUGACCCGCGGCUGCUUCCCCCUCCCGCCCACACGUCCCUGGCGGGGCGGAGCUGUUGCUGCUGUUAUGGCGUCUUGGGCGCUGUUAGCGAAGGAUCAGCCACUGCGGUGCCAAUAGAAAGCGAAGGAGCCAGGCGGCCGGCGGGCCGGGCAUGGAAAGCCUGGUGCAGCCCCCGCCGCCUCCGGGCUCGCUGAAGAGGGGCGGCGGGGGCGCUGCCAGCCAGCUCCUUCUGGAAGAGGUGGCGGCAGGCGAGGGCGGCUGCAGGGACGGGCCCGCGGCGGCUGAGGAGGGCGGCGGGCGGCGCAGCUCUUCCCCUCAGCCGGCCCCCGCUCAGGACACGGCCCCUCAGACGGCGUCUCCCUCAUGGGUCGCGGAGGGCAGUCCGCCGGCGGCAGACGGCGUGGGGCUGGCGGUGCCGGAGAGCCCCGGAGCGGCGCCUACCUCGGAGAGCGGUCCCGCGGGGGCCGGCUCCGGGAGCAGCGGGGCUCCCAGCCUACCGGGGGAGGAGUCCCGGAGCCUGGACUCGCUGGAGUCCUUCUCCAACCUGCACUCCUGCUGCCCGAGCAGCUCCGAGCUCAACAGCGACGCCGAGGAGGCGGUGGUGGCGGGGGCUGCCUCGGGGGGCCCGGCCCCGGAGCCUGAAGGGGAUAGGCCCGCGGCGGGCUCCCAGCUCCUCUCCGCCUCCAAGGAGCGCUUCCCGGGUCAGUCGGUCUAUCAUAUCAAGUGGGUCCGCUGGAAGGAGGAGAACACGCCCGUCAUCACCCAGAACGAGAACGGACCCUGCCCGUUGCUGGCCAUCAUGAACGUGCUGCUCCUGGCUUGGAAGAUUAAGCUGCCACCAAUGAUGGAAAUCAUAACAGCUGAACAGCUGAUGGAAUACUUAGGAGACUAUAUUCUUGAUGCAAAACCUAAAGAGAUAUCUGAAAUUCAGCGUCUAAAUUAUGAGCAGAAUAUGAGUGAUGCAAUGGCAAUUCUGCAUAAGUUACAGACGGGUCUGGAUGUCAAUGUGAAGUUUACAGGUGUACGAGUGUUUGAAUACACACCAGAAUGCAUAGUGUUUGAUCUUCUUGAUAUCCCCUUGUACCAUGGAUGGUUAGUGGACCCUCAGGUUGCUGACAUAGUAAAAGCAGUUGGUAACUGCAGUUAUAAUCAGCUAGUGGAGAAGAUCAUUUCUUGUAAACAGUCGGACAACAGUGAACUGGUUAGUGAAGGAUUUGUAGCUGAGCAAUUUCUAAAUAACACAGCUACACAGUUGACAUACCAUGGACUGUGUGAGUUGACUUCAGCUGUCCAGGAGGGAGAGCUUUGUGUGUUCUUCAGGAACAACCAUUUUAGUACAAUGACCAAAUACAAGGGUCAACUUUACCUGCUGGUGACAGACCAGGGUUUUCUUACAGAAGAGAAAGUUGUCUGGGAAAGCUUACACAAUGUGGAUGGUGAUGGAAAUUUCUGUGAUUCUGAAUUCCACCUACGGCCUCCGUCAGACCCUGAAACUGUCUACAGAGGGCAGCAGGAUCAAAUAGAUCAAGAUUAUCUGAUGGCAUUGUCUCUACAACAAGAGCAGCAAAAUCAAGAGAUUAACUGGGAACAGAUCCCAGAAGGAAUCAGUGAUCUAGAGCUAGCAAAGAAGCUCCAGGAAGAGGAGGACAGGAGAGCUUCUCAGUACUAUCAGGAACAAGAACAAGCAGCUGUUCAGGUCCAGCAGGUGCAAGGUGCUGCUUCUCCAGCAAGUGGAAGACAAUCUGGGAGUAAUGAACGCAAACGUAAAGAGCCUCGAGAAAAAGAGAGAGAAAAAGAGAAGAAUAGCUGUGUUCUCUUGUAAUAGAAAAUGGAUUUAGUCUGGAGCCAAGUGCAUGUCCUCAGAAGCAAAAACAAGGAGUAAAACGGAAGACAAACCCGUUACAUGCCGCCUGUGCCUGAUUACCCCAUGGAUUUUGUUCACGUUUCAAGAGAGGAUGGGUGACUUUGUUACAAUCAUAGAGACUUUCUUCAAAGUCAUAGUGCGUGCUGCUCAAGAUGGAAUUCCAAAUCACAGUUGGAUGCGGCUGUGCUUUGAGUUAGUCAUAAAAAAUACUGCACCUUGUAGCUGAACACACAAAUCAUGGCAAGUUUUGUGUCAUAGUGACAUCCAUUACUCAUUACAUCAGUUAGUAAGCUAUUAUCUUCUACUCUAAACAAAGGAGGUAAUUUGUUUUGUGUAAGACUUUCUCCUGAAGUCUGUACACUAGCACAACAGAAUUGUGUUACAUGGUAUGAAACUGUAUCUUAGGCUGGGUAUAGUCUUCAGGAUACAAGAGCCCAAAUAACAGCUGGGCACUGCCUCCUCAAUCUGUCCAGAUUUCUUUGCUUCUGGAUCUGUGACAGUAUUGCCACUUUGGAUUCCUUUUUGACCAAAUUUAGCUGGAGCAGGUAUUGUGGCUAUUGAGUAUAUCUUUUUGCUGAAGAUACUUGUUUGUAUUAGAAUAAUUCAUAUAACAUUUCCAGUUUCAGACAGAUGUGCCUGAAACCUAAUAUACUGUAGUUACGGUAAUAUUGUUAUUUGGUCACAAAGGAAGGAGAGUUAAAUGUCAAUGCUCAUCAUGAAGUUUAAACUCCCAGAUAAUUCAAUUUCAAUAAAGGAGUAAAGGGUUUCAAAUUAUUUGAGAUGGCAGGCACGCUAUUCAAACAGUUUUCGGUUAAUACCGUUUUUUCUUUACAGGUCUUGAAGCUUUGGAUAGAAGGUAAAGAAUUCCUGAAAUCUAGGGCAUUGUUCUGCAUGAAUUAAGCUUGUUAGAGGCAAAAGUUAUAAGCAGAUGAGCUUGUUAAUAUCUGAAAUGAAAUACAUCUGGAAGCUUAAUUUAUACCCUACUGUGAGUAACCAUUCCAAAAGCAACUAUCACAGUUGGUAUCUAUGAGAGUAUCUGAUGAUUAAAAAAGCUGAACAGAAUUGCUUUUAUUUGUAAUAGUGAGCUUGAAAAACAAUAUUACAAAAUUUUCAGAGUACCAGAAAGAAGAUGUCUACUUCUGAAUAUUUACUUCAUUUGCCUCUUUUUUGAAGCUCAUGUCUGGUGAAAAGGUACAGAUUUAUACUUUACAUCUGUUUAUACAAUUUAGCAUGCACAUGCUCCAAAUACCUACAUAAUAUAUAUGAAAGCGUCUGGAAAAGUAGAGUAGAACUUGUUUUCCACUAGAUAAAAGCUAGCACAGAAAACAGAAUCACAGAAUUUUUGUUGUUGCAAUGUAGUUGUGAAAUAGAAAAAGCUAAAUACGAGUAUUCUUAAAAUUAGCAAAAAAUUGAGCACUGCCAUAGUUAUAAAUGUUUUUUCUAAAAGGCGCUUUGUAAAUGCUCAGAUAUACUACUUUUCUUCUGACACUCAUGUGGAAUCCGAGACCCAACAAAAAGCAGAUCCAAAGGAAGAUUGUAACACCAGAGGAUGAAAUUAGCAUUCCUGAAAACUCACUUAAACACAAUGCAAAAAAUAUAUUUUGUAGCUAGCCAUCUAGUUAAUAUAAUAAAGUAUGUGUUCAGAUUGUCUUUACAGAGCUGCUCUUGUGGAUCACAGGCACACAAGCUACAAGUGAAGCAUAUGCUCUUCUGUGUACACUUGCAUUGGAUUGCCAGUCAAUCUCUACACUCACUUGGUAUUUCACGUUAUUGUCAAAUGUUUCUUCAAACUUGUGUAUACAAGUUCUUGAAAACAUUUUCCAGUGUGUAAUAAAAGGCAAUUUGAGUUCUUGAAAUUGAAUCUUUUGGUGUAUUCAGCAGGAAAUACUCAAGUAAAAGGUGAAGCUGAUGUACUUUGAACCUCUCCUCUUUCCUGCUACAAUAGAUCUAUAACCCAAAGCUAGCUUAUUGCCUAGAUCAGCUUCCUUACCAUUAGUGUGUUCAGUAGUCAAUUGCUGAAGUUUAUACAAAGUACAUCUUUAAAUACAACAUACUGAAUUAAGAGCUGUAUUUAUUUUAUAUAAAAGUAGUUUUUUUUUUUUCAAGGUUGUAACCUUAAGCAGCAAGUGAAUUGAUGCAGUAUCCUCAUUAGAAAGCAUAUUAGAGAAAAGCAAAAAUAACAAGCCUUAGUUUGGUUGCAAUAUAAUGCUCACAUUUUCUCCAUCUAUGCUAUGAUAACAAGACCUUGGUAACAAGAAAAAUCUGACACUGAAAAAUGUUCAUCUAGUCCAAUGAUAGCAAAUGUCAUACGCAAGAACUUAACCACGUGCAUUUUAUCUUGUGAUUCAGUGCAGUUUCUUUCUUUUUUUUAAAGCAUAACUAGCAAUAGACUGUUAGAAGUGUUGGUUUGAGUGGGAAAAUUUGGUGAGAUGAAUGACACUUUCUUGUACAAAAUCAUUUACACGGAAGUCUAUUUGAUGUUAAUUUCCAUAGUGUCUUCAUAUAGCUCCUUCUUGUUCACAGCUUGUUCUUAUAGUUGUCCAGUAGCAAAGUAAUGUAUGUAAGCUCAACUGUCACCUGCUCUAAUGGGAAGAAGUGCUGUAGGAAAUGCUGAGAAGGAAAGACAGGCUGGAGUAUGAAAGUCCCUGCACCAUCUCUGGAGAUUGUUUAGGAAUUUGUCCUUAAUUUUGCUGUUAGACAUAAAUAACCGUAGCACAGCAUGCAGUGGCCAAAUCUUCCCACCCAUUUAAUGACUGGCAUGCUUAUUUCAUAGUGAGUUGGCAGUGUUUGUCCCUGUAUGCGCUGUUCUUAGCUCAUAAUGCUUCUAGGUCAAGACUAGCUGUUCUGACCCUCUACUAUGUCAGAUGUCUACUGUUUAAUUUCGGUCAUUAUGUCAGCUCUCUUCACCUGGGGAGUUAGCUCUAGAGAACUUGCUGAAACCUGAAAGUUUUCUGCCUUUACAGUUCCUUUUCUGGUUCGUAGGAUUACUUGCACUCGUGAAGAAGCUUCAUGUGUUGAAAUGAGCAAUUCCUUGUUCUUUGAGGUCAAGAACUUUAUAUAGUUAAUUAUCUUUAGUCAAGAUCCUGUGUUUGUCUCAGCAGAGAAAAAUUUUCAUCAAAAUGCUGUUAGUUUGGGAAAUCCAUAGGGAACAAUUCAGAUUAAGUUUCAGUACUCAAAGUUUGCUAGCUUAGUAUAUGCUUACAAAGUAGUUUAUUGUAACAUUAUGAUGAAAAUAAAGGCAUCUGUUUCUCUAAAUGUAAUCUGAUGAAACAAAAUAAGGCACUGCAAGUGCUUUCAUCACUAGUUGAUUCAUGCAUUUAAGGAAGCAGAUGGUGGUGUUGUGGCUAACAGUCUUGCUGGGGCCAAAAGUGAGUGAAAUAUGAUUGUUUGAUAUAGUCAAACACUAAGCCAAAUGUAUGGAGAUCUUGGGGGUGGACAGGGACACAAACCCACAUAAGUUUUGUAUUUCUUUAAUUAAUCUCUUGAGAACUGUCCUUUAGUGCUGACCCAACUUCAGUUUAGGUCCCAUCCAGCUUAAGUGAUCCCUAUUGUGAAGCUUAUAAAUAGGGAAGUGUCUCAUGAGAUGAUGCCUUCAGCUCAUAACUUAGAUCCUCCAUCACAGAGCUGGAUGAAGUAACGUGGUACUUCGUCUGUCUCAGCUUGAAGUUCAUGUUCUCUUGUUGAAGCCAUUAGUAAAACUUGCACAGACUUUGAGUUAAGACUUCAGCCGUUAUUUUUCAAAGUUAAGAUUAUGCUAAGCAGUCUCGAAAAUUUCACCUGACAUAGGUAAGCAUUUUUAGAUUUCUUCUAAAUGUAUUUCAGAAAAAGCUGGGUUAACUGGUAUUUUGUCUGAAACCUUCUGUUGACUUUUGUUCUGGUUCACUGGCACAUGCUAAGGAAAGGGUCGAAAUUGCAAUUAGAAGAAACACCAGUAUGUCAGUAAACUUAAAUCAGCUGAGUAAUGGGCAUGUCCUUGGGUUUCAUCAUCUCUUGUUUUGGGGAACUCCAAAAUAACAAUAUGAAAAUAGACAAUUUUUUCCCCUUUACAGGAACUGGCCAUAUCUAGUGAUUAAUAUUUGCACUGAGUACUUUUUCUUAAGGCUUGCUUACGUGGUCCAGUCUGUGAAGCUGAGGAGUUAAUGUUUAUGGUUGUAAUCUAGUAAACCCUGGGGAGCAUUCGGAUACUAACAUUUCUGCCUUCAGACACAGAAAUAACACUGACAAAAUCAGUAUUUACACUUACCAACUCUGCUUUUAAAUACAAGAGCUGUAGGAAAACUCUAAAUAAAGAUUUUUACCAUUGCUGAAACAUUCUUUUUUGGCAAUGGUAAAUAAAAAAAUUUAAUGGAAAUUAUAAAAUCAGAUCAACUAUUUGUGCUGUUAUAUGUUGCAUCUCACGGAAUACAGGAUAGGUGAGAGUCUUACAAGAUUAACUGUGUUAGCCAGCUGCUGUUGAAAGGCGGUUGGAUUUGGUCCCCCAGUUCUUCUAUUUUCAAUUCAUGCAGCUCAUAAAGACACAGUGUAGUUUAACUAGACAGAACCAUGCCAUCUCUACCUGGCUUAAUACUGAGGACAUGACAAUAUGGACAUCUCCAUGUAAUGAAUUCCAAGUACAUCUUGUCAUUAAGUCCAUAUAAUAAAUUAUAAUAUGUGCCAGCUAUAAUAAAGCUAGCGUGAUUAUUUCUGCCCAUGCUAUAAAUGCAUUUACUUUCUGUGAAAGAACUACAGAAAAUUAGAUGACUGCUUUCCUAAUAGACUUUGAAACUAACUUGAAAUAUUCUUUGUAAUGCUGUUGUCUUCAGUCUUGGGAAAUGAAGAAUGUAUAAAAGUUUCUGAAGAACUGUAAUGAUUUGACAUAAUGUUUUUCUUGUCUUGUAGUAUGUCUAUAUGGAACAUAAUAUUAAAAAAAAAAAAACCAACACCUUAACAUUUGAUUUUGUAAGAGAAUGUUGUAUUCAGCUAUAUAUGCUGCAGUCACCUUUUAGAGCUAACACACUCCAUCAGUAGCAAACCUAUGCUGUAGAAACUUCACUGGAAGGAUUUAAUAAAUACUAGGAAAAUAAUUAUUUCUAAACAAAAGAAUACACCACUUUGGGGUUUUUACUAUGGUUUCUUGUGAAUUGCAAUAGCUAACAGUUCAGAGCUAUCUUACAGUCACAGUAAUUAGUGGUAGCUGAAUGUGUUCAGUGUAGACUUACACAAAGUUUCAUAACACCAGUUUCAUAAUUAAUUAAAACUUUUCAUAGUUAAUUACCAACAUGUAUUGGCUCUGCAAGCAGAGCUGGGUGAAACAACUGAAAUAAAAGCCUGUACUUCCAACUGUAGCUGGAACUUCCCAAGGGUGUAGAGGAAGCUGAUGACUAUUCUUUUGAAAAAUCUCAGACCAAAUAAAGUUUAAUCUAUGCUGUUUCUAACUUUUUUUUUAAAGAGGAAAGCUUGUGUUAGAUUAUCUUGUGUAUUUUUAGAGGAAAAAACAAGCUCAGUUUUGAAUUUAACUGUGUCUUCAGAUUUUCUAGCUUUUUAGCAUACUACCCGUUCAGCAUUUUACGCUUAUUUCCAAUGGAACUUUAUUUUCUCUUCAGUAUUUUGGUGUCAGGGCAUCAAUUGGUCUCUUAAUUUUAGGGCUUUUGUUAUUGCAGAUUAACCAGAGCCAAAAGGAGCUCAUUUAUAUUAGUUACUGGGUUUGUUUACAAUUGUUUUAGUGAAAUCCUUCAGAUAGAACCUGUUUUCAAAUUUUCUAUCUGAAGUGAGUAGAUAACAGUAUGGGUGUUUUGGCCAAUUGCAGCCCUGGUAGACUUUACAAUUGAGUUGUAUUUACUGUAGGAAACUGUUGUUAUUGCUGUGGAAGUAACAUCCUUGUUUUGUUUGGAAAAGCACAGUGGCCAGUUGUCCUCAAGACCACUGCAGAUAGACAGUGAACCAAUGAACCUGCUUGUGAGAAGUGACCAUAGGUACACUGAUUUCAAGAGACAAAUCUGUUGUAGCAAGUGUUUCUUCACCUGUAUUUUGAUAAGUCUUGAAAUCAUUAGUGCUGUUACACUGUAUUAAAGAGUGUGACUGGUCACACAAUUACAGUACAAACAUUCAUUAAAUAAGCAGGACUCUGGUUUUGGUGCAGUUUGUACUUGCAAAAAGAAAGCAGGUUUGAUAGUUUUAAGUACCGCUAUUGAAAGUAUCAAGUAUCCUGUCCCACAGAAAUAAAUUCUAAAGCUGUUGCUACUUGCUCAGUACUUGUUCUUACAGAAAAAGUCACAGAAUGUGAAUACCUUUCAGCUACUUCCUUUAUAAGGGAGUGAAAAUGCUGUUGUCAGUUCCCCCACACUAACCUGAUAGAGCUUUAAUGUUAAAUAUCAGAGUUUUGGUUUAUCUUUCAUAUUACAGCUUUCAGCGAAAGGAGUUCUUAUUAAAGUUUUCAUAAAUAACUUUUGAUUAUUGUUUUAUCUGGUGAACAGAUGCACAGCUAUUACUUGUAUGAAUUUUGAUAAUUACCUUUUACAUAUACACAUGUAAGCUUAUUAAAGAAACUACAGAGGAAACAUACAAAAGUGAAUCCUAUGGAAGUUGCCCCUAGUUCUCCAGUGUUAAGUCAAAUAUUUGUUACCACACUGAUUGUCUUGACUAGGUCUUUUUAGAAUUAUUAAAAAAACCCCAACUAUAUAUUUUAGGAAAAUACCAAGACUUCUAGUUAGUAAUGUCUUCAAGAUGCCACACUUAGACCCACCAGAAUGGUGCAAGUGCUGUGUUAAAUCAGCAGUUCAGUUGUGAGCCUGUUAGUCAGCUAAUGUUUACCUUGAUCUCUAAAUCUAGUUUUAAAAGGAAAUGCCAAAAUAAAAGCUAAUUCAAGCUACUGUAGAUUUACCAAGAGAGGGGAGAAGUUAAAUUUUAAAAAAUUGUAUUUUAAAAGUGCAUGACGUGCUUAAAUCUAGUCAUGCAGUAUUGUUUGUACCAAUGUAUAUGACUGAAAUCCUUUGCAUUGUGAUGUUAUACCAUUAUCUAACAUUGUAAUGGCAUCUAUGAGUUCAACUACUGAAUGUUUUGAAUUUUAAAGCCUUAAUUGUUUAUAUUGUAUUAAUGUGUUUUUAAAGACUAUAAGGAAACCACAUUUUCCUUGUAAAUUGUUAAAAUAAUUUUGAACACUUAAAUCAUUUUCAGAGAAGUCCAUUUCUGUACCUUAAUACCCCUUUUUGUUUGUGUACCACAAAAGAAAAACUGUUAAAUUGUUAUCUUUUAAAUCCAGUUAUCAGCUUCUCUAUAGUUUAAGAUCUUUACCCUAUUGAGAUUUAUUUUGGUUAACA